CUGUGUAUGGCUUGUUUUUGUACUUGUAUGCCUAGCAUUUGGUAUAUGUUAAACUGCUUCAUAGAUGUAAUUCAUUCAGUUAAGUAGAGGCAAACCAGUGAAAAAUCAGGAAAUGGCCAAACUGGAAUGACAGGGCUUCAAACAAACAACCUGUUGAGCGUGUUUUUGUUCUCCUUGUCCUAAUUCUCCCUCUACUGGCUUUCAGGAAACAUGCUCCCGAUCUCAGAAGGGGAACAGCAUCUCCAAGAACCAGAUGAAUAAAACAGGAAGCACAAGUUUGGAGUGUAACCAUACCAAAAGGCAAGGUACCCAUAUAAGCAAAUGUCUGUGGGAGACAGAGCCAAGAUGUCGGAAUAAGGAAGGAACUGAGUUUUCCCAAAUCUCCAAACAACUAUUUUUAAAAUGCCUCUAAACAAAUUCUGCAGACAAACAAAAUCAGAACAACAAAAAGAUGAGGUGAAGCGAUUUUCUGUCACAAGACAAUGUAGAAGGUUAGCAGGAAAAGAUCCACUUCAUUGGGGAAGAAGAGUGCUUGAUCCAGCAAACAUCUUCUCUCUCCAUCCUUUGGAUAGCAAACACAUCAACAUUAUAAGUUAUUGACUCCUGCUUCCCCAGCCCUUGAUCUGCUGCAACCUGGCUCUGACAUGACUUCUACUGAAAUGGAUCUUUAAAAGUUGCCAACCCAGCUAACCUUGCAAGUAAUCUUCAGGAUCUUCCCAAGACAAUUCAACUGUAAAUGGUUCCAUUUUCUGGCUGAAAGACUGAGAUUCUCCAGGUUUGAUUAGACAUACAACAGUGAAGUGUUGGGUAUACAGCCUAAUAUAUGUUCUCUCCCACAUUUUCUUCUGGAGUAUCUCAAAACUGAGCUACCUCUGUAAUUCAUGCCUCAACCUCAUCAUCCACAUGGACAUCUCUGGAAUGUAUACCACCAAGGAAAGUGAACUAUACCAGUUCAAUGAUGGCAUGCAGCCCACAGGAAGAUCUGGAGAAGCAAUGCAGCUCCUGCAAACAGUGGAGGUUGAUAGCCCUUUUUCACGAUUAAAGGUCAUGGAAACAUUUCUUCACAGGAGAGCCAGGAUGAUUCUAAAAGUUCUUAUGCCAUUAAAGAAGUUUAUGCAUAUCAUAUUGUGACAUUCUUUUUAUGGCCUUUCUGCAAUAGUAUUAAUCAUAUUUAUAUUA
rnacentral:lncRNA from 1 species